rnacentral:lncRNA from 1 species
AGCUGCGGAAUGAGCAAGUGGAAGUACUUUUGGAGAUAAGCAGAAAGGAUGUGAAGAAUGACGAUGAAGGUAAGUUUAAGGCAACGCCGGGCAUGGCGACCCCAGAAGGUAUCCCAGCCUCCCCCUCACUCUAACACCUCACCUGCGCAAUGAACUCAUCGUAGCUGUAGUCAGCGGACAUUUUCAAGGUCGGCUAAACUCCGGAGCAUGAUGCGCCUCAAACGAGUCUAAUGUACUGCGAGAAGUGACUGUAGAGAUCCAUAACUAGAAGGACAAGUGCAUUUGCAACAAGCCGGUAAUUUUUACAGAUUCUUGCAUGUGGUUUUGCAUGAGGUGGCAUGCCUGCACCGGGAGGUAUGAGUACGAUGCAACUGGCUGACAAUGUCGCGAAGAGCCACUUUACGUGCAAGUAUGAUAAGUAGGGUCUGAGGUUCUAUAUUUUUAUUCAUAUUGUUUGACACAACAGUAAUGCCAUGUUGCAAAGGACGAGCG